AAAAUGGGCUCAUGGGUGAGGUCUCCUGAAACUUCUAGCUUCUCCUGGGAGACCAGGGAGGGCAGAGAUUUUAAAGUUUAAAAGGGUCCACAUGUUCCUCAGUCUGAGAACCAGGCAGUCCUACGGAGAGGCCAGGGCUCAGCACUCACUCACUUCUUCAAUGCCACCUUCCAUACCCACUGUUUAAGAAGUCACCACCUUGGGCCUGAGCUGGGGGUGCUGUAGAGUGGAGCAGGGGCAAGCUGAGGGGGACAGAGGUCUAGCGGCAAUUCUGGUGGAGAGUAAGCUCAACCUCUGGACAACCCAAAGACAUUUCCUCCAUGUGCCUUCCUCCAAUGCCACUUUUUAUUUUCUGAAUUGUCUGCAAGGAGAGUGAGAUGUUGGGCACUGCAGCCAGAAAGACCUUGUCCUCUGCCUGGGACAGAGGGAAGGACGGGCCAGAACCAACAUCCUUGUCAGGGAGACUCAGGGCAACUGGGACCGAAGAGCUUCAGGGUUCAGCGUCCCCACCGGCUGGCCCCUCCACCAAGCAGGUUUGCAGGAAGACAGCAUGACGCAGGAGGAACACAGUCACCUUAAAAGGCACCUGUUGACUCCCUAAGGUGUACUCUAGAGACACUGAGAUGCGUCGAUCUUAAGUGUAAAACUCACUGAGUUUUGACAGACGUGUACACCCAUGCAACCACAAUUCCAAUCAAGAUAUAGCAUAUUUGCUUCACUCCACUAGGUUGCCUUUUUACCUUCUUCAUCAAUCUCCAACCCCACCCUGAGGCAACCAACGUUCUGAUUUCUAUCAUCACAGAUCCUUUUUGGAAUCAUCUCAUAUGCACUCUUUUGUGUUGGCUUCUUUCUUCCACACAGUGUUGACAUUUGUCCAUGUUGCAUUGUUUGUUCAUUUUUAUUGUUCAGUAGUGUUCCAUUGUAUGAAGAAACCACAAUGUAUUUAUCUACUUAUCUACCUGUUCAUGGUCAUGUGGGUAAUUUCCAAUUUUUGCUAAUAAAGGAAUAAAAC
rnacentral:lncRNA from 1 species